rnacentral:rRNA from 1 species
UACGUAGGGUCCGAGCGUUGUCCGGAAUUAUUGGGCGUAAGGCGUCGUAGCGGUCCGUCGCGUCGGGAGUGAAAACUCGGAGCUUAACUCCGAGCCUGCUUCCGAUACGGGCAGACUAGAGGUAGGCAGGGGGGAGAGGCGAACUCCUGGUGUAGCGGUGGAAUGCGCAGAUAUCAGGAAGAACACCGGUGGCGAAGGCGGCUCUCUGGGCCUUACCUGACGCUGAGGAGCGAAAGCGUGGGUAGCGAACAGG